rnacentral:rRNA from 1 species
UACGUAGGGUGCAAGCGUUGUCCGGAAUUAUUGGGCGUAAAGAGCUCGUAGGCGGUCUGUCGCGUCGGCUGUGAAAACCCGGAGCUCAACUCCGGGCCUGCAGUCGAUACGGGCAGACUGGAGUUCGGCAGGGGAGACUGGAAUUCCUGGUGUAGCGGUGAAAUGCGCUGAUAUCAGGAGGAACACCGGUGGCGAAGGCGGGUCUCUGGGCCGAUACUGACGCUGAGGAGCGAAAGCGUGGGGAGCGAACAGG